UAGCCCCUACGGGGGGCAGCAGUGAGGAAUAUUGGUCAAUGGGCGGGAGCCUGAACCAGCCAAGUCGCGUGAGGGAAGACGGUCCUAUGGAUUGUAAACCUCUUUAGGCGGGGAGCAAUGCCGGGCACGCGUGCCCGGAGGGAGAGUACCCGCAGAAUAAGCAUCGGCUAAAUCCGUGCCAGCAGCCGCGGUAAUACGGAGGAUGCGAGCGUUAUCCGGAUUUAUUGGGUUUAAAGGGUGCGUAGGCGGGCAUUUAAGCCGGCGG
rnacentral:rRNA from 1 species